rnacentral:rRNA from 1 species
GAAGAUUAGCUUGUUAAAUUAGUAAUUUUAUGUUUGAGAAGAUUAUUGUUAUCAAAAUAUUGGUAAGUUUAUUAAAAAAAAGUAUUGUGAUAAGAAAUUUUUAUUAAAGCUAUAGAAGUUGUACUGUGAAGGAAAAUUGAAAUAAUAUUAGUACAAAAAAUAGGAAAGAAAAAGUUAAAUCUUAUACCUUUUGUAUAAUGGUUAAGUAAGAUUUAUCAAUUAUAAUUUUGUAUCCCGAAACUUGGUGAGCUAGUGUUUUCUUCUUUAGGGAGAAUGAAGGUUUACUGUUGCAAUAGUAAAUUUUGAGGAAACAUUAGAUGUGAAAUGUUAAUCGUACUAAGAGAUAGCUGGUUUUUCAAGAAAUUGAUGUUAGUUAAGUAUAAAUUUAUAAUAAAAAGGAUUUUUUGUGAAAAAAAAAUAAUAGAUUAUAAUUUUUUAUUGUGAGACAAAUAGGGAUAAGCUUGUUUGUUGAAUAGGAAAAAGCCUUGAUAAUAAAUUAAAGAUGAAAAUUUUUGUUAAUGUGAAAGCAGGAAAAGUAUAAGUAGGAUUAAUAGCAUCUAUCUUAAUAGAAGGAGUUAAAGCCCAUACUAAGGAUGUUUAAUCAAAUAAUAUUAAAGUUGAUUCUAAAGUUAUUUUUAAUUAUUGAAAAAUUGUAUGUAAUUACAUGAUAUAAUGCUUAAAUGAGUAAAGAAUACUAUCAAUUGUAUAUUAUACCAUUCCUAACUAAGGAAGGAGAAAAUAUAAUAGUUUAUCGGGAAAGAUUUUUUUAUAGAUUGUCUACCAACUCAGGAGAUAGUUUGUUAUUAAAAUAAGAAAAAGGAACUCGGCAAAAUUUUACCUCGCCUGUUUACCAAAAACAUCGCCCUUUGUAAAAUAAUUAAGAUAUAAGGGGUACUGCCUGCCCAGUGACGUAGUUAAACGGCCGCGGUAUUUUGACCGUGCAAAGGUAGCAUAAUCAUUUGCCUCUUAAAUAGAGGCUGGUAUGAAUGGCAAGACGAAGGUUAAGCUGUCUCUUUCUUAAAUCUUGAAUUUAAUAUUUUUGUGAAGAAGCAGAAAUUUAUUCGUAGGACGAGAAGACCCUAUCGAGCUUUAAUUAUACAUAUAUUUAUGGUUGUAUUAUUUAAUAAAGUUAAUCAUAUUAGAUUAGUAAGAAAUUAGAAUUAUUUUAAAGAAUAAGUAUUAUUAAGUAUAUAGAUUUUGAUUGGGGCAAUCGUGGAGAAAAAAUAUCCUCCAUUAUGAAAUAAUAAAUAACAAUUUAUAUUAUAAAGAUCCGCUGUAUAGCGAUUUAAGGAAUAAGUUACCGUAGGGAUAACAGCGUAAUUUUUUUGGAGAGUUCAUAUUGAUAAAAAAGUUUGCGACCUCGAUGUUGGAUCAAGAUUUCCUGGGGAUGCAGUAGUUUCUAUAGGUUGGUCUGUUCGACCAUUAAAAUCUUACGUGAUCUGAGUUCAGACCGGUGUAAGCCAGGUCAGUUUCUAUCCACGAAAGAUAGAUUUUUUUUAGUACGAAAGGACCAAAAAAGUAACACGAAUGUUUAAAAAUAGGUGUUAAAAAAAGUUUUGAAAAAAAAUGAAAUUUUUAUAAAAAAAUUUAAAC